rnacentral:rRNA from 1 species
CUCGGUCGUGGCUGCGACGGAUCUUGCGAGUUUACACUCAUCACCCUGUGACAUACCUAUACGUUGCCUCGGCGGGAACAGACGGCCCCGUAACACGGGCCGCCCCCGCCAGAGGACCCCCUAACUCUGUUUCUAUAAUGUUUCUUCUGAGUAAACAGCAAAUAAAUUAAAACUUUCAACAACGGAUCUCUUGGCUCUGGCAUCGAUGAAGAACGCAGCGAAAUGCGAUAAGUAAUGUGAAUUGCAGAAUUCAGUGAAUCAUCGAAUCUUUGAACGCACAUUGCGCCCGCCAGUAUUCUGGCGGGCAUGCCUGUUCGAGCGUCAUUACAACCCUCAGGCCCCCGGGCCUGGCGUUGGGGAUCGGCGGAAGCCCCCUGCGGGCACAACGCCGUCCCCCAAAUACAGUGGCGGUCCCGCCGCAGCUUCCAUUGCGUAGUAGCUAACACCUCGCAACUGGAGAGCGGCGCGGCCACGCCGUAAAACACCCAACUUCUGAA